AAAUAAAAAAUAAAUAAAGUUGGGCAAGUUAUUUUCCAGUGCUUUAAUAAAUGUUGGUAAACAAAAUAACUAAAUGAAUUUUUGACACACUUGCAAAAAAUAACCUGGAAAAUCCAACUAGGUCAGAGCUUCCGGGUCAAUAUAUUUUAAAGUUUUUUUCUGAAAAUGAAAGUGUAUACAUUAUGAAAAACAAGAAAACCCUUUCCAUAGAGAUCAACCAAUUGGGUACCUGACAAAGAAUCCUUUGUCACAGUCACCCCUUCCCACCAAGACUCUAGCUCCUCCCUGUCCCAUCUGAAAGUUUGUUUCCAGAUAGUUCGUUGAUCAGUCCACCUUCUAACUCUCUACAGCACUGUCUCAGACCUCUGUCAGGUUGUCUGGCUGGAAUCCUGCAUCCCUGGCCUCAGCUAGAAGGCUGAGAAUGAAAGAAGGAACAAAAUUGAAAACUGAUCCCAUUUAUUUCAAAAUCAUGUCACCUCUGUCAGCUGAAGAUACUGAACUAAGAGGCAGCUUGAGUCUCCUUCCGCUUGUGCAUGAGAUGGCACAGUCUUUCUUCAAAACAAGUCCUAUAUGGGAAUUCCCUGGCGGUCCAGUGGUCACGAUUCCGCACUUCCACUGCAGGGGGCGUGGAUUCGCUCCCUGGUCGGGGGAACUAAGAUUCCGCAAGCUACGCAACGCGGCCAAAAAAAAGAGCUCUAUUGAUGAUUAGAGGUCAGCUGGAUUUUGGCUAAUCUUGUCGGGAUCAGUGGAACUUGGCUCCAGCCAUGAGUUGAGUUCACAUCUCUCAUUCCUCCGUGACUAGUGGGCUGCCCAAGACAUCAUCUUCACAAGGUGGUAGCAGAAGCCCAAAAGAGCAGACCCAGCACUGAAAUGGGUAAAGCCUCUGUACACAUCACAACUACUAACAUUUCAUUGGCUAAAUAAAGUCAUACAGCCAAGCUGACAUCAAGGGGGUGGAAAAUAUACUCCAGCUGUAAUCUCAGGAACUACACAUGGUAUAGGUGUAGGGAGUGAUGAAGUACUGGGAAGAAUUAUACAGUCUACAACAGUGCCUCACAAAAAGAUUACAUGGAAAAAACACAUGCACAGGAUAUAAAAUUGAUUGUACAACUUGAUCAUAACUAUGUAAAAAUAUUUUUUGCAAUUCAACAAAGAAUAGAAAUAAAUAAGCAAAAAUGAAAAAAAUCAUGACUGGAUAACAAGUGGCUAAGAACUGUUUAUUUUGCCUCUCUCCAUUUCUCAAACCUA
rnacentral:lncRNA from 1 species